rnacentral:rRNA from 1 species
AGUGGCGGACGGGUGAGUAAUACAUCGGAACGUGCCCAGUAGUGGGGGACAACCUCGAGAAAUCGAGGCUAAUACCGCAUACGACCUACGGGUGAAAGCGGGGGACCGCAAGGCCUCGCGCUAUUGGAGCGGCCGAUGUCCGAUUAGCUAGUUGGUAGGGUAAAAGCCUACCAAGGCAACGAUCGGUAGCUGGUCUGAGAGGACGACCAGCCACACUGGGACUGAGACACGGCCCAGACUCCUACAGGAGGCAGCAGUGGGGAAUUUUGGACAAUGGGGGCAACCCUGAUCCAGCCAUGCCGCGUGCGGGAAGAAGGCCUUCGGGUUGUAAACCGCUUUCGGCCGGAACGAAAUCGCCGGGGAGAACAUCUCCGGUGGAUGACGGUACCGGAAGAAGAAGCACCGGCUAACUACGUGCCAGCAGCCGCGGUAAUACGUAGGGUGCGAGCGUUAAUCGGAAUUACUGGGCGUAAAGCGUGCGCAGGUGGUUCGCUAAGACAGAUGUGAAAUCCCCGGGCUCAACCUGGGAACUGCGUUUGUGACUGGCGGGCUAGAGUGCGGAAGAGGGAGGUGGAAUUCCACGUGUAGCAGUGAAAUGCGUAGAGAUGUGGAGGAACACCGAUGGCGAAGGCAGCCUCCUGGUCUAGCACUGACGCUCAUGCACGAAAGCGUGGGAGCAAACAGGAUUAGAUACCCUGGU